AUUAGGAAGGUUGAGAACCACUGGUCUAGAGGGACGUGGUGCUCCUCAGACCCUAAAGGACGGUGGGCACCACGUCCAUUGUGUCACUUGGGUUCCAUGAUGGAGCCCAGAGGUGUGAGGCAUCUGGUUUGCAGUUGAGGAAAAGAGCUAAGAAGGAACCCGGGUGGUGUCAGACUCUGCAGUUAUGGACAUAUAAUUACUUACAAAGGGGACAGGGAGGAAUCUGGGCUUAGACUGCAGUUAGGAAACCGGGGACCCUCGAUGUGUGACUGGUGAAUGGGAUGAAUUCAGCAACGCGGGACUGGACUGACUGUGUGUCUGCUUUUUCCAGCACAGGCUUGUUGGCCUCCGUCACCUUUUCACACAAGACUAAGGGAAGCGUCAGGGCCUGCGGACGGACUGCCAGUGACACCUGGACAGGAGGGAUGCGACCCGUGUCCUGCUGAGCCAGCUCUGCCACACCUGCCCUUCGGACAGACCCGCCCCCUCCAGGUAAAGUAACCGCGCACAGAAACGCCCGCGUGCAUUGCAAAGGCCGUGGCUAGGUUCAUGAUGACACAGGACCUUGUCUGAACUUCAUGAUCUCAAAACAUGAGCUUGGAUAUGUCACUGAAAUCUAGUCAUGCGCCUCACACACACCUAGCACACCUGGUCAACAGGAAGUGUUGGCUUGACAUGACAACUUAGCAUACUUUCCAUGGCAGUUAACACACGUUCGUUCCUCAAACAUCUUUCUGUACAACCUUCACACACAUUUCAAGCGCAUCCUUUUCUCUUCUGUACAUAUUUGUGCUGUUGGAGGCAACAAAGGAGGCCCACCCACGGACCCCGACAGGCACACGUGCGGAGGGAGCGGAUGCCAGGCAUGGAGACUGCCCCACCCGCCUGGGAUGGAACAUCGACACCCCCGUUCUCGGGAUCUAGUGGUGGCGGGGUGAAGGCCUCACGCUGACCAACAUGCCGGCUGUGUGGAACAUGCCUUCCCAAGGACACAGCUCCUGUUUGAGGACAAUUAAUCUUGUCUGUAACCUAGGUCAGCGAUUUUCAACCCAUGUGCCCCGAAAUUUUUAAAGCAUGUAACUCACCCUCCCUUAAACCAUCAAAUAGAAAAUUAUAAGAGUCCACACAACAAUGGCGGUUCAGUAUGAAUUAAUCAAAAUUAUACUUAUCUUUAGGUCAAAUUGGCAAAAAUUGUAUAUUUUGGUGGCCCACUGAAUUUUACUAAUUGGCUUACGUGCUAUGAGAUUGAGAAAGGUUGAAAAUCACUGCCCUAGGUUUAAGGUCUCACACAGUAAAUGUUCAAGAAAUGUGUGGCAUUAAGUAGUUCUCCAAUGUUAACGGUACAGCCCUUACAAACCUUCAGUGACUCCCCUACAGUGGAAACGUGUGAUGACAAUCCAGGCCUGUCCCACCCAACUCCAUCCUCGAUCUCUAAAGGAGCCCCCUGCUCCCAGACAGGGCCGAGCUGUGGUGCCUGCAGGGACGGACACCUGUAGCCAUUGUAGCCCGGAAGUCCUGCUUGAGGUCACAGGGCAGUGAGAGGACGUGGCUGGCUUAGGGAGACGUGACGCCUCGCAGAGCAGCAGCAUUUGACAUCAGUCCCAGGACACUGAUUCUGGAGUGAGCGUGGGUGAAUGAAUGCCUUCAGGAAGUCAGGCUCCAACAACAGGCACUGGGCAGUCAGGAGGGACAUUAGGUGUGGCUGCCAUUUAAGUCUCAAGUUGUAGUGGAAGAAGCCUAACGUGACUUCAGUCUUCAGCUAAAGGACAUAGCUGUGCCCCAUGGCUCCUGCCUUCAGUAGCAUCUUUGUCAUUCAGCAUCUUAGUGAGCUUCCCUACCUGAUUUCGGCAGCUUUGUCUUUAUGUAGCAUCUUUAUCUUAUUGCAGCUUCUUCAUCUUUAUGUAGCAUCUCAAUCUGAUUGCAGCAUCUUUGUAGCAUUUUAUCUUGUUGAGCAUUUUUGUCAUAAUGUAGCAUCUUUAUCUCAUUGCAGCUUCUUAGUCUAUGUAGCAUCUCGAUCUGAUUGCAGCACAUUUGUCUUUAUGUAGCAUCUUUACCUUAUUGCAGCUUCUUUGAUUAUAGCUUCUUAAUCUUAGUCUUUCUGCAGCAUCCUUGUCACUUAGCAGCAAGAAUAAAGGUAAAAUAUAGGGUUCCCAAUAUGAGUAAUUUGGUGACAUCAGGAAAGGAGCUUGUGCUCUGGCCUCAUGGUGACAUGUGGGUGGCGUUCCCAUAGCAUUGGAUUUCCUGUGGCAGGGUGAGCGCUUCUCUGAGACCCUCCGAGUCCGCAUGCAGCAUCUACAGACCUGUGGUCGGAGUGGGUUUCAUCUGUUCAAUCUGACUGACUUUCUUGACCAUUCUCAUUGACCUUUCCACCUUGAUUUUUUUUUACACUUUGGAAUACUUCAGAUUUUCUCCCUGUAGCCUGGGUUCCUAAAUUGGAUUACAACAUGUUAAUGGAGGAGAGGAAGUUGUCUGUUCUUCCUCGUUACAUCUGUCUGGUGAUAUUUGGUGUUCCACUUUUCAAUUUUUUGGACAGUUGGCUUGGGGAAGUGGAUUCUAAGGUAUUUUCUUGUAAGACACCAAAGGUCUCAACUUGAUUCCAACAGAUUUCUGGGUGUUUCGUGGUCUUUGAUCCCCAUGUGUCACUUGAAUGAAAUUGCUGUCAAAGAUGGCUGAUGAGUCACUCACUCUUGUAGGCCAGGGCCUUCCUGGUGGUAGAAAUGUACAGUCCACAGGCAUAACCUUCAACCAGGUGCACAUGCUGUUGGUAAGACGUGGGCUUGACUCAUGAUGAGCUAUGUUGUCUGAAGUGAAUGACGUGAAGGUCACCCGAAUGAAUACUCUGAAGUCCAGCCAAAGUGUCCAUCCACGCACGUGGGCCGCACAUUUCUUUAACAUCCGUUUGUAGGCUGUACAUUUCACCAGGCUUCCCAUCAACAUGGCAGGCGAGUCAGAGAGAGGAGGGCGCUGUGGGCUCUCAUCCCCACCCACCACAUCUGCCGUCUCACUUUGGAAUUUCCCAUCAUGCAUUUCAAGUGACACCCUCAUGACAGCCUCACUGGUUCCUACCUUGGACCAGAGCUUCCUGAGCCCAUGGCCCCAGCCCCUUGGAGCAGCUCCAGUCAGCACAGGAGCCAGAAAGUGCCAGUUGGUUGACACCUUGCUUUUGUCUGAGAUGAGUUUACUUUUUCCACCUACACUCAGAGGGAGCCCUUUCAUUCUUAUCUUAGUAAGUCACCACCUUUUGCAUCUUGGCAAGAUGUAGAUGGAGAUUCAAUUGUUGGCUCAGAUUCAAGGGGGGGUAAUAGGCGUUAGCAGUGGGUGAAUCUGAGCCCAGGAGAGGAACGGUUUGCCAAAAUGCCAUGCAUUCUUUGAAGGGGGUCUUCACGUCAUUCUUUAACAUCUGAAACAUCUGUAACAUCUGUCUUGUGUGAGUAAUGGAUCUUAUGACCUGAGAUUGACAUUCUAUGACUCAGUGCUUGUGCUUUGCUUGUAGUAGCUCUUGUGAGGGGUGAAUAGUAAUUAAACAGGUAUUUAGGAAAACCUGUAUAAAAAAGUUACCAUGGACAGUUGAAUGUAUUAAGACCUUAUCCUUAAAUAGUCACCUUAAUUUGUUAAUGCAUGUGUGUGAGUGUGUGUAAAUAGUGUGGGUGUGGAUAGUGUGGCGCAUGAACAGCUUUUAGUGGAAAGCUGUUGGGGUUCCAAUUAAUUACAUUCUUUGUAAAGUAAGUUAGACAAGUAUUUUCACAGUUCUUUACCUUGUUUAGUUCCAGUUGUCCUACCAGAUUUUUUUUUUAUAUUUACUACCUCAGAGACUUGCUUGGUUUCUCUUAGAGAAUUGAGAGAAGUUAGAUGCCCUUUCUACUAACUGAAUUACAGUAGGAACAUCAGUUGAGUGAGAAAGGAAAGGAGGGAGUUAGCGGUCUUUUGACCUUGGACGUUGGGUGCCAGCUAGGAUGGUCCUGACUGCUGAGAGGACACUGGUCAUGCUGGCUGAGAACCAUCCAGAACAUCCAUCCGUUCUUGAGGGUCACAUGGCCUAGAGAGAAUCCCUACACAGCAUUGGAAAGGCGGAGAUGGAGAGGGAAUGAAUGGUGGGGAGGGGAGCGCAGGGAGGAAGGAAAAAGGAGGGUUUAAAGGGAAUCUAUCAGGUGUGAAGGGAGACUUCCUUUGUGAGUCUUUGAACAUCAGAAGGCUGUGUGGGGAGGUUAGGAGUUGGAGGUACCACUGACCUGCCACUGUUUGAUUCAGUGCCUCGUUCUCAGCCAGCCUGGAUGGGGGAGCUCCCAGGUCCUUUCCUGAGGCGACUGUGUAGCUGGUUAGUAGAAGGUGAAGGGGUUUGCAUCUGUAGCCAGCUGAGAUGAGACCAGGCUUGUCUCCAACCUUAGUGCACAUGAGAAUCAGUCUGCGGGCUUGUACAGUUUGUCCGUGGCUGAUUCAGUAGGUAUAGGGCGGAGAAGGUGACAUGCCCUGUUCAGGCACCACACAGAGAACAAAUAGCUGGGUUUGAUUCAGAAUUCAAUAGGCAUUAUCUGACAGCACUGUUGUACAACUGCUAAUCUACAUGGGAUUCAUUGCGGAAUAUUUAAAAUUGACUAUGGGCAUUUAAUUUUGAAAGAAAUUGGUUGCUUUUUUUUCUAGAAAUAGAACCAAUUAGGAACCAAAUUUAUAAUUGGCCGGACACUCUGAAAAUUUGAGAAUGGGAAUCCUUUUAUCAGAACAAAUUGCUAAAAUAAAUUUAAAUUAGGUACCUGAUUGGAGGAAGCAAAUUAAUUAAUUUUGAUAAUGUCUCUAAUAAUGAAUCAACUACCCAAAUAUUGACCUCAAUUUGGAUGAAACUGAACAGUAAAGUUUCCAGAAAACAGUAGUAUUCUCAAUAGCAUGUUUAUCUCAUAGACAUGGUAAUUUUUGCCAGAUGCUUCCACUUUGGGGGAGUGUUUUAUCCAGUUUGUGUUCUGUGUUGGUUACUGAACUGUGCACAACUUUAUUACUUUGCAUAUGGUUGUUGUAUUGUAAGCAUCCACUCCUGCAUCAUUUAAAAUGGCCAUAAACUGGCAAUACCAAUGAGGUAAUGGGUGAUGCUAUUUUCUAGUGGCAAAUUUCAAUAUGUAUUUAAUAGCUUGGCUGUAAAUAUCCUGGUGGCAAUAUUUGGUAUUGAUAUUGGACUUUUGUAAAUAUGCUUCUAAAUGGGAAUAGUGUUACAAUGGACUGUUCACUGUUAGUGGCAAACUUUGACAUGUUGCCGCUUUAGUCGGGUUUCUCUGUACUGGGAGGUGCUGAGGAGUAUGGAUGUAGAGAGACUUUGCAGUGACUGAAGAAGGAACCCAGACUAGAAACAAAGAGACCUCUUCUGUGGCUUGGACCGAAUACAAAAUGAGCAAUCCUGUUGUUUUAGAAAAGUGUGACUUAGGAAGGGACUCCGAUGAAAGCAGGGAGCCCUCUCUUCUGUGGUUGGACUCAAAAAUGAGCAAUCAUGGAGGAUUUUUUAAAAAAUUGUGACAUGAAGGACCUCAACCUUGAAACAAGGAGACCUCUCUUCUGUGGUUUGGACUCAGUAAAAUGAGCAAUCAUGGAAGACUUAAAAAUGUGACCUAUAAAGGAAAGGGACCUAAAUGUGAAACAAGAAGACCUCUUUUCUGUGGUUUGGACUCAAAUGAGCAAUCAUGGAAGACUUAAAAAAUUGUGACUUGUAAAAGGACCUAAAUUUGAAACAAGGAGACCUCUUUUCUGUGGCUUGGACUGAAGAUAGGGAGAAAUCCCACAGGAUUUUUAAAAAACUGAUGAUUUCUAUGAGGAUAAGUUAUGGCAUUGAUAUGGAUUUUCUUAUUUUUGUAGGAUGGCAAAGAAUGUCAUAUUUUUCUAAUUAUCUUUUGCUUAACGUGUAACUCUCUGGUGAGCAUGACUGAAUGGACCGGGUGUUUCUCAAACUAGUCAGUUAAGGUCCUAGUGAGGCCAAAGGAAUAUUUAAAAUUUCCCAUCCCCCCAAAAUAUGAAUCACAAUGAGGAAACUGAAAAUUAAACACAACUCACUGAGCAAUAUUUUUGUCUUAGAUGGCAACAUGGUAAAGUUUGAUAAUAUGUUUACAAGAAAGAAUGGAUUGACUUUUCUGAUUGUUUUAUGGAGAGAAAAAUAUUAAUUCAUUGGCCUUAAAGUCAUUACUACUCUUCUCGCACCAAGACCUCGUGUAAUUAAUUGGCAUUUAGUAUGGAUCUGGAGGAUAGAUUGUAUGUCAUAUUGGGUAUGUUGUCAGUUAUUGGGUAAAAUAUAUUCAUAAAGAAACAAAAGAUAACUAAGUUUUAGGCAAAAUUUAGCUUCCACUUUAAAUCUAAACUCUUCAAUACAGUCCGGACACAACGGCAUUUGAUUGUGCCUCUGCUGGGUGCAGAGAAUUGGGUGACACCAUCUUAAAUUCAACUUGCCUGUCCAUCAGCCAGAGGGAUACUCACAUUUCAAUUCAGGCUUCUGUGGAAAGGAAAAGGGUUUUUGGAAAGUCAUCCGUCUGUUUCAGUCUAGCUCACUAGAGAAUAAAACUUACCUGUUUAAUAAAAAAAAAAAGCAGGUGAGCAUUUGAACGAAUCUCUUGUGCAACCUCUUAGAGAUCAAGAGUUCAUUGUUAUUGAGAGUAUACAACUGUUUACUUAUUAGUGGUAACCAUGGACGUAGCCACAUAAAAUUAUGUAAAUACAUAUAUCCUUGUUUAGCUUUUGUAAUGUAUAUAGCAUCUUCUACAACUUGCUGUUAAAGAGAACACGUGGAACAGUUGUUUUUAAAAUGACAAGACCAUGUCUGGAUCACUCCAAGAAGAUUCUGGCCAGUGACCAUGUGAAGACACUCCAUGCCAUUGUAAACAUCAGUUCAGAACCACUGCAUGAUACCUUUGCCUGAAUUUUAGAGAAUUGUAGAAAGCUGCUGCCAACGAGGGGGUGACCAAGGGGCAGGCAUUGGACUCAGUUGGGGCCUGAGAACAAUGGACAAGGGUUUCUUGCCAAAAGUAAGAACCUGCGUAGCCAGGUGAUUGCUGUUCAGGCUCCGGUAGAUGGCUGCUCCGCACCUACCUUUCCAGUUGGCAGUUUGACCUCUUUUAACUUUUUUAAACUUCCAGCCGUCGCCUUACUUCUGUCUUCAGAUUCUCUCUGACAUGACGAACCACAUCAUGUUCCAACAGUAUUAUAAAUAAGCAAUAAUCAGAAGAGGGGAAAGAUUCCAUAGACUGGUAUUUCCAGCAUCCUUUGCCACUCUGAAAACCGGUCAUCUUCCACUUGCCAUCUCUGAAGAUUUGGAUUCUCAAAAUCUGGGAUGUUCGUUCACUCAAACCCUCUGGUCCCCCUAAUCUCCAGAAGUUUGUACAGCAAGAAACAAUGUUACUGAAAGCCAGGAUGAUGUACAAUGGAUGAGCCAGAGAUCCCAGCCUGAGGAACUGCCCUGCCUGAGCUAGGGACUCCUGUGGGCAUCUCACCCUCAUGCAAACUGAAGGGGUCUUUGGCCAGAUCAAGAGCCAUUUUCCCAACCUAAUACGCAUUGAUGCCUGGGCCAAAAGCAUAUAGGGACAGCGUCCUCAUCCCGUAUUCCUCCCCACAAAGGUAUGUGAAGGACAACAUCACAUAGACACAGCCAAACCCGCAGGAAUCUGGAGAGGAAGGACACACAGCACAUUCUAAUUGAGCUAGAAGCUUUACCAGCCACAAAGACAAGAAACACAGAUUGAUACUGUUUUGACCGUCGGUCUUACAUUUCAUUGGAGAAAAUAUUUUGUGAUGGGGAGUCUCAACUCCCCUUCAGAAGGUCUACCAUUGAAAGCUGUGUAUCUGAGACACUUGUAUAGAUGCCUGAUGCACAGGUCUCCAGUUUUCUCCAAUUUGCAUUUUAAAAACAACUCAGAAUCUAACCCUGCUAAGUACUUUAUUGCCCACAUAAAGCUGAACAAUUGAUGGACAUUGGUAUGGACAAUGUUGUUAAAAUGUAAAUAGGAAAUACUCAGUGACUGAUGAAUGUUAACGAACUGUUGUUGAUGUGAGGAGACCAAGAGAAUGAAAUUCAACAUAUAAUGGUUUCAUUUUCUUGUAUUUUAUUCUUUGUUUACGUUAACUUCCUUGGAAUAUAAACUCAAGCACAGAGGCCUCCAUUUGUAAACAAAUCUGUUAUUUUUGGAUAUUUUUGUAACGGUUGCUGUGAUAUUCAAGCUGGUUUCCUAGGGAAGUUUCUAAUAACACAUUUAGUAAAAUUUUCUGUAUAUAGAGUUUUUUAAAGCUAUACACAAUGCUGGACUCAUUGUUGUGUGCUCAGGGAUAGCAGGAAAGGAAGUAGCAAGGCAUUAGAUAUCCAUGUGUAUAAAAAAGCCAAAUAUAGUUGCUUUGCGCCAUUUCCUAAUGUAUUGUAAUUGUUUUAACAAGGAGUUUGGUUACGUGUAUAGAAGUAUUUUAAUACAUGAUGAUGAAAAUAGAACUGUCAGAAUACCUCUGAAAGAUGUACAUAUUAAACCAUUAGAAUGGACGAUUGCUGUGGGACUGGGAGAGGGGAGGUUUUGUACACAGCUAUCACAGACAUGAAAGGCUGCUCUGUGGGUGUAGAUAUUCCUGUAAAUGGUCUUUAUUUUGAAAUGUAUAUGUUGCUCUUUGCUUAUUACCAAGUGUUAUUGCUGUUUAUAUAUAUAUAUAUAUAUUAGGACUGUUGCGCCAUGUUACCAAAGCCAUCUUACAGGGAUGGCUUACCUCCAUGCUCACACGUCUACCUUUAGUUUGUAAAUUUUUUGUUUUGCCAGUUGCAUUAUUAAAUGGCCUCAUUAUUAAUUUAUUUAUGAUAACAUUUUGUUAUAAACAAUGUUAUUAAUGCCUAACAUGCAAUUUUCAACAUGUAUAUACGUCAUUGUAAAUUUGUUAUGAAUAUGAUCAACUUAAUGGGAUUAGAAGCAUUUUUGUUUACCAAAGAGAUGUUAGAUGUAGCCUCUCUGUGUUCCCUGCAUCAUUAGGCUCCAUUUUCAUGUUGUCCUCAGUGGUGAGCAUAGUGUAAUGCUCUGUUUUAUGACAUCAUCAUGCUGGAAAUUUCAUUGCAACUGUAGGUCUGCUUUCAUUGAUGGUUUUCAGAUAUAUUUGUAUACAAAUAGGGCAGGAUUUUUUAGCAUAACUUUGAGAAAUCUCUACAUGUGGUAUAAAACAGCAUAGGUUAGAAAAGUUCAUUUGCCAGUGGAAAUUGACAUAAUAGUGAAUUGUUUUUAGAACUUAUUUCUAGUUGUAUAGGUGAUUAAUGUUUGAUGUGGGACGUUAGCAAUGGAAUAUAUUAAACCCAAGUUCAUUAUAUGUGGGCUGACAAAAGAAUGUGUUUGUAUUAUAUGUAUAUAGUAUACAGUUACACGUUUUUUAAAGCAAUAGGAACUUUUAUAUUUGCAUGUCUUGUUUUUAGAUUAUUAUAUAUAUCUUUUUGCUUUAAACUUUUAGUUCUUUAAAUAUAAUGAUUGUUUACAUAUUCAUAUGUGUGUAUACAUAUACACAUAUAUACAUGUACAUAUGUGUAUAUUAGUGUACAGAACUUUUUUAAAGUCAUAGGACAAACAAUGGAAGAUACUGUGACGCUGCUAGCUAUAUGGUGGACAAAUGUUUUGUUUUAUAACAUCUGCAUUGAUAGACACACGUGACUUCUGUUUUGGCAAUUAAAUUGCUAUACUAUGUCUAGUCGACAUGUAUUGUUGGGGGGGGGUUAUUGCCUUUGUGUUGUAUUUUUUUUUAGUAGAUAUUCUUUGUUAAGGUGUAGAAAUCAUUGUCAUUAAUGUGUAAAUGUGUAAUUUUUUCCUACCAAUCUAGUUUUUGAAUGUUAAGUUCUGGAGCCGAGCAGGGAGGUAUCUGACUGCUGUAUGUAUAAUAGACAAGUUUCUUACCACAUCUUCACUCCUAGGUUUGUAGAAAUACCCUGUUUCCACGCGCCCCCGCGCGCGCACACACACGCACACACACAGUACAUAAUGUUAAUGUUGAACUAGGGUUAAAAAAUGUUUGUUACCAAUAGAAGUGUUACUUCACCCCCUAGUGUUUGAUAUCACUUGGGGUGAAUGGGGGUGAUUAAUCUGACCAGACCUUUGUUUUUCUACCAUAUACUCUUGUACAUGUGCCGAGAUUUCUGUCAUUUAAAAAUUUUUAAAUCUAUUUCACCUGAAAUUAUAGCACAUAUGCUUUUUUUUGCUUGUUGAAAUGGUUCACCAGUCCUGCCAAUUUUAAUCUUCAUACUGUGUGUAUUUAUCUUUAAAACGCCUGUUCAUUGCUGAUAUACUUUCUAAUAUCACAACCUAUUAGUAUAAUUAGACAUUUUUCUCCGAAUGUUGAACAGGGGUAGUGGAUGUUUCUGACCUCAUCUCUAAUACUCUCUUCAUGUCUUUCUGGUUUAUGUCUAUGACAUGGACUCUGUCUAUUGCAUUGCAUGUGGACCACCCACAGUCAAAUCCUCUCCCAUCACCAUCGAUUUGGCCCCCAUUUUCCUCGACUACCUCUCCACCCACUUCCCAACAACAUGGAUGGACCUUGAGAAUAGGAUGCUAAGUGAAAUAAGUGGAAAGUAUUUUUACCUCACAUUUUUAUUUAGACGUAAAAGUAGAUAGUAACCAUGAAAUUGAUUGUCAUUUUAUAGAAAAAUACCUCAAUUUAAGGGCCAUGUUGUUAUAUAUUAUUUUCCCAGAUGUACUGAGGUUCAGGAUGGAAUUCUUUUUUCUAAAGAACAUUUACAGAAUCUCUAACUAUAUAAUCCUGUAAAUAUUUUAUUGUAUAUUUGUUCCUACCAUUGUCUUUCAAUAAUAACACGGCAAUAAAAUUAAAUGUACAAAAUAAUUCAUUUCCCCCAACAUGGAAGAAUAGUCUGGCCAUCCUAACAAGUAUAAAUUUAAAAUUUAAGAUACAGUGUGAAUUUGGUGUUUUUUGGAUGUGCCAAGUAUCCCAAUAUGUUUCCAUUAUUUUUUUAUUAAGAUUUUUUUGGAAAGCGGUUUAAAAUUCAUAGCAAAUUGAAGGGAAGGUACAAAGAUUUCCCAUAUACCUCAGUCCCCACACACAUGCAAUAAUCAACCCAACACAUAGGGUAAUCUCAUGCCUUUUACAUCCAUAAGGUGACUUUGACAUUGACAUAUAUCCAUUUUGAUAUUUGGGUUAUUUUUCUUACCCUAAAUCCUCUGUACUCUGCCUACUCAUCCUUCUGUGUUUUUUGCUCUCUCUCUUUAACAUUGAAGGUAUUAGUUGCUUCGUUGAACGGAUUUUAUACUACCUCUUGGAACUAUACAUAGUUGUGUAUGUGUUCCCUUGGUCGCAUGACAGUAUUCAAGACAACUUUGUAAAUAACAGGCAGAUACACUUUUUAAUUUCUAACAUCUAGUCUUUCCAGAUGUAUAUAUUCUCUCAACGUAUACUCUUGUAAAUAAUUCAUUGUACAAUUCCAUGCUUUUAUAUUCUUGGGCUGAGUGGUGGUGGCUUAGGCUAUAUAUAUAUCCUUGCUCUGUGGAUUUGCUAGGGGGCGGGUAGAAGGGAGUGGCCCUACACUUUUUGAAAUAAGGCAUUGUUUAGUGUUUGUUCUACAUCAAAGACCUCAGUCCUCACUUUGUGGUUGUGUAGCUGAUAGGGCAUUAUGUAUUUUAAUCAUGGGAAAUGUAUUUUAUAGGACUUACACAGCCACAGUCAGGACAAUUUUGUAAAUAGCAGGCAUAUAUAUAUAUAUAAAUACACAUCAUUUUAAACAUCUAGUUUUUCUAGAUGCACAGGGAGAUUCGCAAAAUUUUGUAAAUAUUUCAUUGCAUACUAGCGUAAGUUGGCUUCUGGUAUGUUUUGGCAAUGUAAUAGGUGGUUAGUGAAUAUCUGCUUCCUAGGCUGUGCUAGCGUUCUGGUGUUCAGUGAGUUCCUGGGAGAGGAAUGCCAAGAUGGCCUACGAAUCUUCAUCUUCUUAGGCUCUCGAGUAUAAGGAAAGGCUACACCGGGGAUGGGUAACAGCAGUGACAACCAGACUUGUAUUGUGAAGCUUCAGGGAGAAAGAUAGGUGACAAGAACUGUCCCUUUGUCACAUGCAGAUAUUCUCAGUGAUGUGAUCAAACAUGGCAGCAACGCACAUUGCUAAAGGAAUUGCUAUGUUGCUAAGCUAGAUAAAUAUUAACACAUAUGUAACAUUAGUUUUAGGGGUAUAGGUCUGAUAAUGCUUUUUUUCUCAUUUAUUAGCUUCUUGAUUUUCAUUUUGCUAUGAAAGUUAUUGUAUUCUUACACUUAUAAAAGCCAGCCUCAUGUUACAUGUAAAUGUGUUAAUUUUGUAUGAGAUAAUUAAGCAACUCUAUAUCAAUGUUUUCAUCUAUAUGCAUCUGUAUGAGAGAAUUACACUAGUUAUAAAUAUUUUAAUUCUGAGACCUCUUUAAAAUUUUUUCUGGUGAAUUGUUAUAUUUGAAUGUCAUGAUUAAUAUUGAAAGUGUAUUGUAUCUCAGUUGCCUGUAAUGUACAUUAUGAAAGUUUCUUAGAAAGGUGGUCCAAUCCAGUAUUGAUUAAAGUAUAAAUCAUCUCUGAACAGCAGUUUGGCAAUGACAAUCAGAAUUGAAUGCUUAAAAGUGACUGCUGUGAUUUUAUCUAUUCUAAAUCAAAUUUACAAAGCUGAAGGUACAUUAUAAAUUGAAACAUUGAACAACUGAAAUACACAUUAGUGAAAAAUAUAGUAAUGAUUAUAGCUUACUUAAAGAAUAUAAUCUAACCACUGAUAAAACAUUCUUAUGUGGAUGUGAGUUUUAAAUUGAUACUUAAAAUUGUCAUUUUUGAACAAAGAUCAACAAGUGUAUAUUGACAAGAGGUGUGUCCAUGUGCCUCUAGUUCAUAUACCAGAAAAGCUAAGGGCAAUGAUUCACCAUCAGUGUCGCUAUCCCGGUGAUGGCUUUGACACACUUUGGAAUUUUUGUGCAUGUGCUAGUUAAACAAUAAGGCAUUGCUCAUCCAUGUAUUUGUAUGUUGCUACAUGACAAUCUAAAGUGACUGAGUAUGGAAGAGAAAGUUGUCUGGACGACUAUGGCAAAAUCUCAGUGUACAGACACGUGAAUGGAAGGACUGCUUCUACUUUGUGCAUUCAAAUUUGUAAAAGGUAUUUCAAAAGGAACAUUUCAACAACAGGAAUUUUAAAGGCACAGCUAAUUUGUGCCUGUCGUCCAUCUUGCCUAUCAACAUCUUGGGCAUGUGUGGUGAUGGGUCCGGCCUUGUAUUGCCAUUGGGCCUGAUUAAUGCUUUUAAGAGAUCAAGACAGCAUGUGACUUAAAGACUAAUGCAGCACAGAGCUGUACCAUGUGAGGAGGAGGAAGGAGGAGAAUCGAUUACCCAAGGAGAGAAGAAGGGAGACGACGAGACUGCAGGAGUGAAAAGGAGGAAAGGAAAGUGAAUUUGUGACAAGCGAGGACAACCAACAUCAGGAGCCUUGGUCUUUCAGUGGAGCUCCUUGUUCCCUGAGGCUCAGCUGAACCACAGGAGAUGAUGGUUCCUGAGGAUGACACCACCGCCUCGAGUCCUCACGCAGUGCGCCCCACUUCCAUCCCUGGCCCAGGAGCGUCCUGGAGACAUGCGUGGGAUGCCGGAACAGACUUGCUUCUGCCACCAUCUGAAACACCCGCCAGCCAGGCUUCAGAGCGGCCCAGCGGUGCCUCUCGGGCGUGGCCAUGGACACUCCCUGCCAGCCUGACAGGACGAGCACGCGUGUCCAAGGUGACCCAGCGGGUGAUGGCGAGAACUGUAAGCAGCAUGUUGACUGUUGUCCUUGUUGCUGUGGGACUGGCACCAGGAGAUGGAAAGCUGGAGACCUUAAUCCCGAAGCCCUGGACGUGCCGUUGCGAGGCCUCCUCCAGGGCUCCCAUAUAUUUCUAUUUUACUUAUUAUCAUAGCGUAGAUUUAAAAUGUAUUCAUUAAAAAUAGUCUUUUUUUUUUAGAUUUUAGGCAACAUAGAAAUUUGUUAAGUAUGUAGUUAUUACUUUAUGUACCUUUGUUUCCCUUUUAAUUUUACCCUGCCCCAUGUCAUCUAAUGUCUUUUUAUUUUUCAAUUAGAUUACAUUCAAUAUUACUUUGUAUUAGUUUCAGGUAUACUCAAAAGUAAAGUGUCCCCUCAAUGUUUCAGGUACCCACCAGGCCCCAUAUAUACGGAUCACAGUACAAACCGACUGUACUCCCUACGCUAUCAUCUACUAAUAGAGUUAGUGCGCACCCUCGUGGUGCUGCUCAGACAUUGUAGACAAGUAGUGUUUUAGGCGCUUACACUGGCCACGCAUCUUCUCUGCAUUAAACAUGCUUUUAUAUCAUUCCUUUUGAAUUUAUUCAACUAACUUGUUGAAAAAAUUCCAAUGAAUUGGAAUUACUCUGGCUAAAAAUACUCAAUUUAUAUAUAGACUCAAAAGUUAGCUUUCCCCUCAUUCUAGGUCCUUCUCUUUAUUCUGCCUCCCCCUGUUUGAGACUUCAAACUGUG